GAUGAACGCUGGCGGCGUGCCUAAUACAUGCAAGUCGAGCGAACAGACGAGGAGCUUGCUCCUCUGACGUUAGCGGCGGACGGGUGAGUAACACGUGGAUAACCUACCUAUAAGACUGGGAUAACUUCGGGAAACCGGAGCUAAUACCGGAUAAUAUAUUGAACCGCAUGGUUCAAUAGUGAAAGACGGUUUUGCUGUCACUUAUAGAUGGAUCCGCGCCGCAUUAGCUAGUUGGUAAGGUAACGGCUUACCAAGGCAACGAUGCGUAGCCGACCUGAGAGGGGGAGCGGCGGCAGUGGAACGGAGACACGGUCAAGACUACGACGGGAGGCAGCAGAAGGCAGUGGUCGGCAUGGGGCGAAAGCAUGACGGAGUAGCGGCGCGUGAGUGAUGAAGAUCUUCGGAGCGUAAAACUGUGUUAUGAGGGAAAAACAAAAGUGUACGUAACUAUGCACGUCGUGACGGUACCUAAUAAGAAAGCCACGGCUAACUACGUG
rnacentral:rRNA from 1 species